GAGUAGCUGGGACUACAGGCGCCCGCCAUCACGCCCGGCUGCUUUUUUUGUUUUAGUAGAGAGGAGGUUUCACCGUGUUAGCCAGGAUGGUCUCAAUCUCCUGACCUCGUGAUCCGCCCGCCUCGGCCUCUCAAAGUGCUGGGAUUACACGCGUGAGCCACCGCGCCUGGCCUGAAGAAAGAAGUCAUUAAAGAAGCAACCCAUGGCAAAACUAGUUAUUUUCUUAAAACAGUAGGAAGAAGAAAAGCUUUUUGAAUGAAUCACUUCUCAUCUUCUCCGAAGUUGGAAGCAUCAAGAAUCUAAAUAAGCAUUUAUGAUGGCUGGCAUGAAUAUGCGGAAGAUAGAAUGGGAGUCCUAGUUGACCUUCAUAUAAUUUUUAGAAGAUGGAGCACUUCAACUUCUUCCACUCAUGAAAAGAGAGGUGACAGGUGAAGACAGAACAAGAAAACAAACCAAGAAUUUCCCCUCACCAGCCACCAGCUCUGCCAGCAACUUGAUCUUAGACUUCCCAGCCUCCGUAACGCCUCUGCUUAUAAUCUGUCAUGGAUUGGAAAACUAGAAAAAACAGUUUACAGAGUAUAACAAACUUUGGAGGAGUUAAUCGACUCUAAGUAAAAGAGUAUCUAGCACGGCUGUGGAACAAAGGAGAGACUCACAAACUGUUGAAAGAAUAAAUGAAUGAAUGAAUUCUGUUCAUGAGCUUUAAUAAAACAGCUCUGAGUAGUAACAGUGGAUCAAAUUUAGGCUUCUUGAUGCAGGCAUGGUGUAGAUUACUACUUCUGUAUUGUCCCAGGAGCUCAGCACAUUCCUGCAGAGAUGAUAGGAGCUCAUCUGAUACUUGUCAGCUUUGAAUAAACUCCAGUCCCCAAGAGAGAGAAUGAGAAUCACCGGAAUACGAAACUUCCCUGUUGGACUUCCCAACAUUCUUGAAUGCACCAAGAUAGCCUCUUGCUGUGAGAUUAAUAAAUGAAUAAAUGCCUCCAUAUUUUUCAAAUCUGUGAAGUUAACAACAUGUAGAUUUUUUUGCAUAUUUAAAAACUGCAACUAAAUCUUAAUGCCUCUGAAGCAGAUGGAAGAAAAUAAUAGGCUUCCAUUAACUGUGUCAAAUUGUAUAGGUCUUGGCCAUCACUGGUCCUGUUGUGAUGAAGGUUUUUUGCCCUUGGAUAUAAUUUAAUUUUCAAUUCUUCUAAUUAUGGUACUUCAGAACAUCAAUAUUUGAGAUGAACUUCUCUAGUGUCAAGGACUGAUUUGAGUUGUGUAAACCCUGAAUAUCUGAGACAGGUCUCGAUUAUUUUAGAAAGUUUAUUUUGCCAAGGUUGAGGAUGUGUGCCUGUGACACGGCCUCGGGAGGUCCUGAGGACAUGUGCUCAAGGUGGUCAGAGCACAGCUUUGCUUUAUACAUUUUAGAGAGACAUGAGACAUCAACCGACAUAUGUAAGAUGAACAUUGGUUCCAUCUGGAAAGGCGAGACAACUUCAAACGAGGAGGGGGCUUCCAGGUCAUAGGUAGAUAAGAGACAAAUGGCUGCAUUCUUUUGAGUUUCUGAUUAGCCUUUCCAAAGGAGGCAAUUAGAGUGAGCAAAAUGAACAAAAUCAAUUAUUUUGAUUCUGAACAAAAUGGGAGGCUGGUUUUCCCUAAGCAGUUCCCAGCUUGACUUUUCCCUUUAGCUGAGGGAUUUGGGGGGCCCAAGAUUUAUUUUUCUUUCACCGUUGUAUCAAACUACACAGGCGGCCUUGGAAACCAUCACAGUUGAGAGUAGGUAACGCCCAUUUGUUGCAUAGUUUUGUGCUCCACACUCUUAUCUACAAAAUUAUGAAUUUUUUUACAUAUAUUAAUUUCAGAAAAACUAAAAAUAAAACAAAGUAGUUUCAAAC
ensembl:lncRNA novel transcript